CUGGAUGGCCUCUUCGGACCUUGCGCUACUGGAUGAGCCUAAGUCGGAUUACCUAGUUGGUGGGGUAAAGGCCUACCAAGGCGACGAUCCGUAGCUGGUCUGAGAGGAUGAUCAGCCACAUCGGGACUGAAACACGGCCCGAACUCCUACGGGAGGCAGCAGUGGGGAAUAUUGGACAAUGGGGGCAACCCUGAUCCAGCCAUGCCGCGUGUGUGAAGAAGGCUUUCGGGUUGUAAAGCACUUUCAGCGAGGAGGAAGGCCUUAAAGUUAAUACCUUUGAGGAUUGACGUUACUCGCAAAAAAAGCACCGGCUAACUCCGUGCCAGCCGCCGCGGUAAUACGGAGGGUGCAAGCGUUAAUCGGAAUUACUGGGCGUAAAGCGCGCGUAGGUGGUUAGGUAAACGAGAUGUGAAAGCCCCGGGCUUAACCUGGGAACGGGAUUUCCAACUGUCUGACUAAAGUGUGGUAAAAAGGUAGUGGAAUUUUCCUGUGUAGCGGUGAAAUGGGUAAAAAUAGGGGAACACCAGUGGCGAAGGCGGCUACCUGGACCAACACUGACACUGAGGUGCGAAAGCGUGGGGAGCAAACAGGAUUAGAUACCCUGGUAGUCCACGCCGUAAACGAUGUCAACUAGCCGUUGGGACUCUUGAAGUUUUAGUGGCGCAGCUAACGCACUAAGUUGACCGCCUGGGGAGUACGGCCGCAAGGUUAAAACUCAAAUGAAUUGACGGGGGCCCGCACAAGCGGUGGAGCAUGUGGUUUAAUUCGACGCAACGCGAAGAACCUUACCUGGCCUUGACAUCCAGAGAACUUUCCAGAGAUGGAUUGGUGCCUUCGGGAACUCUGAGACAGGUGCUGCAUGGCCGUCGUCAGCUCGUGUCGUGAGAUGUUGGGUUAAGUCCCGUAACGAGCGCAACCCCUAUCCCUGGUUGCUAGCAGGUAAUGCUGAGAACUCCAGGGAGACUGCCGGUGACAAACCGGAGGAAGGUGGGGAUGACGUCAGGUCAUCAUGGCCCUUACGGCCAGGGCUACACACGUGCUACAAUGGCGCGUACAGAGGGCUGCCAACUCGCGAGAGUGCGCCAAUCCCUUAAAACGCGUCGUAGUCCGGAUCGGAGUCUGCAACUCGACUCCGUGAAGUCGGAAUCGCUAGUAAUCGCGAAUCAGAACGG
rnacentral:rRNA from 1 species